UACGUAGGGUGCGAGCGUUGUCCGGAAUUAUUGGGCGUAAAGAGCUCGUAGGCGGUCUGUCGCGUCGAUCGUGAAAACUUGGGGCUUAACCCUGAGCUUGCGGUCGAUACGGGCAUGACUGGAGUUCGGCAGGGGAGACUGGAAUUCCUGGUGUAGCGGUGAAAUGCGCAGAUAUCAGGAGGAACACCAAUGGCGAAGGCAGCUCGCUGGGACGUUACUGACGCUGAGACGCGAAAGCGUGGGGAGCAAACAGG
rnacentral:rRNA from 1 species